GAUGAACGCUGACAGAAUGCUUAACACAUGCAAGUCGACUCGAGUCUUCGGACUUGGGUGGCGCACGGGUGAGUAACGCGUAAAGAACUUGCCUCUUAGACCGGGACAACAUCUGGAAACGGAUGCUAAUACCGGAUAUUAUGGUUUUUUCGCAUGGAGGAAUCAUGAAAGCUAGAUGCGCUAAGAGAGAGCUUUGCGUCCCAUUAGCUGGUUGGUGAGGUAACGGCCCACCAAGGCAAUGAUGGGUAGCCGGCCUGAGAGGGUGAACGGCCACAAGGGGACUGAGACACGGCCCUUACUCCUACGGGAGGCAGCAGUGGGGAAUAUUGGACAAUGGACCGCAAGUCUGAUCCAGCAAUUCUGUGUGCACGAUGACGUUUUUCGGAAUGUAAAGUGCUUUCAGUCGGGAAGAAGUCAGUGACGGUACCGACAGAAGAAGCGACGGCUAAAUACGUGCCAGCAGCCGCGGUAAUACGUAUGUCGCAAGCGUUAUCCGGAUUUAUUGGGCGUAAAGCGCGUCUAGGCGGCAAGGAAAGUCUGAUGUGAAAAUGCGGAGCUCAACUCCGUAUGGCGUUGGAAACUGCCUUACUAGAGUACUGGAGAGGUAGGCGGAACUACAAGUGUAGAGGCGAAAUUCGUAGAUAUUUGUAGGAAUGCCGAUGGGGAAGCCAGCCUACUGGACAGAUACUGACGCUAAAGCGCGAAAGCGUGGGUAGCAAACAGG
rnacentral:rRNA from 1 species